UACAGAGGGGGCAAGCGUUGUUCGGAAUUACUGGGCGUAAAGGGCGCGUAGGCGGCCUGCUAAGUCGAACGUGAAAUCCCCGGGCUCAACCCGGGAACUGCGUCCGAUACUGGCUGGCUUGAAUCCGGGAGAGGGAUGCGGAAUUCCAGGUGUAGCGGUGAAAUGCGUAGAUAUCUGGAGGAACACCGGUGGCGAAGGCGGCAUCCUGGACCGGCAUUGACGCUGAGGCGCGAAAGCCAGGGGAGCAAACGGG
rnacentral:rRNA from 1 species